UACGUAGGGUGCAGGCGUUAAUCGGAAUUACUGGGCGUAAAGCGUGCGCAGGCGGUUUGCUAAGACAGGUGUGAAAUCCCCGGGCUUAACCUGGGAACUGCGCUUGUUACUGGCAGGCUUGAGUGUGGCAGAGGGGGGUGGAAUUCCACGUGUAGCAGUGAGAUGCGUAGAGAUGUGGAGGAACACCGAUGGCGAAGGCAGCCCCCUGGGCUAACACUGACGCUCAUGCACGAAAGCGUGGGGAGCAAACAGG
rnacentral:rRNA from 1 species